UAGUAUAUUUUGUUUAGAAAUACAUUGAAAUUAUUAACCAAAAAAAAAAAAUCGGCCCGCAAUGUAAAUCAACACACAGUUUACGAGAUACGAGCUUUUUAAAUAACUGUCAACGCUUAUUGGCAGUUAUUAUAAAAAGCUCGUAUCUCGUAAUGUCAUGUCAUGUUAUGUCUCGUAAUGUUUGCAGAACAUUGCUGCUCGGUAAAUUUUCAAAAAUUAAUUGUGGUGUCAUAAUUAAGUGUAACUUAAAAAAAAAACUUAUUAACUAAUUAUUACAUAGAUAAAUUCUAUCGGCCCGAUUCGAAGGAUGAGAUACGUAUACGAUAAGUUCAGGUUCAGAUAAGUCCUCAUUUAGAUAUCGUUUGUAUGUCGUAUAAUUGACAGAAGCAGCUCGAUUCGGGCAACCAAUGUCACUUGACGUUAGAAAUGUCGUAGCAGCGGAAUCGAAAUAAACGUCAAUUUUGACAUGUCGUUUAGUAAUCGAUCUUUUACAAAUCUUUCCAAGAUCUUAAACGUGUCUUAAUCAUUCUUCGAUUCGGGCCGUAUAUCUGGUUUAAUUUAUCUUCCGUAUUGGAUUUUCACAUUGUAUAUUGUUAACAUGAAACAUUGAAAAAUUAUCUUGAAAGUAAUGUAUCUUUUGAGAUACCUUGCCAUAAGUAGUUACUAUUUUACUAAUAUUUUACGAGAUUGUAUUGUAAUAAAGUUUGAAUAAUUGAGUAAUUAGUUACAAACAUUCCUGAAUUUUCAGUGAACUUUCCCAACUUUUUGUAAGUUUCGGGCCUAGCACCAGGAAAAGGGUCAAAAUGUAUAUGUAUUGUUGCUGAUGGGCCGCUACACGUUUAUUUCAUUCUGUUACAAAUUUAACUUUCUUAAUUUUAUGACACAGUCCCUUAAAAACGAACUUUAUCGGCCUUGAAUUAUUUAAAUUAGGAGGCAGAGUUCGUGAUCCGAGAAACCGGGGCCGUGAUGAAAGCCUCAUUAGAUCAAGGCCCAGACAGUUCGUCAGAUUAACUGGCUCAAAUCAAUAUUUAUUUCCCUAUGUACCUAAUUAGGGCAUCCUGCAGUUUUGCUUUUUUGUGCGGAAAAUAUACUUACUUAAAUUGAAACUGUUGUAAGUAAUAGGUACCAACUACUAAUAUUUAACAAUUUUACCUAAAUAUUUUUUUCUUUUGUUUUGCAUCUUUAAAAUUUGUUUCUUCAUAUACGUAUUACAUAACUACCUACAUUUUUUUUGCAUGUUGUUUUCUAAGUAUUCGCCUAGUCAGUUAUAAAGCUAAGGGUUAUAAAUUCUCAAUAUGUCAUCUGUUUGGUUUUGUUAAAUUAUUGUAGAUCACGCUGUUAAGGACACCGAUGUCUGUUAGAACAUUUUCAAUGAACCAUCGGUUUUAUUUUUUUCUUAAAAAUAAUAAGUGUGUGCCGGCCGACAGGGGUAGCUGCCAGCGUGUCAUUGCCUAUCUGUAUAUUGGCAGACAUAAGCAUUUCCUUUAGAAAUUCCAUUUCAUAAUACUCAACUAAUAAUGAGAUGGGACGAACGCAAGUCUCCCAUAGCUAAAUUGCGUCAAUCACCAACCUUGACGUCUACGUGUCGUCCGUUGAACGCACCGCCCGCCAUUUGCCAAAGAGAGACGCAAAUUUUCAUACGCAGAACCUUGAAAAUUUGCCAGAUGAUAUUCCCGAGUCCCGUGCUCCGUCCGUAUUUACUUUAGGCUUUAGGCAAGUGUUUACUAAAACAGUAUAAUUAUAAAUGUUUCCCGGUUGGUUCUAAAUUGACCGCGUCAAAACAAGUGAGAGUAAAAACAGAACGCGGACCGGAAUUGAUUCGCAAUUGGGCCUCGACUCGCGUACACAUACCGCCCGACAAUCAAUUCAAUAUAUAUUUACCUUAAUUUCGCAUUUUUCAGCGCCGAACAUGAAUUGGAACAAAAAAGACAUUCGGUUUCAGGCCUAGUAGCUGUUAUUUGGUUAAUUUUAAAUACAAAAUGUUAAAAUUUGCUAAUAGUCUUGAGCAAUUUUCGUAUGUAUCCUCUCUGUUGUGAACACUAUCGAUUAAUAAAGGUGGUAGGCGCGGCCUGGUCGUGCUGCGCCAGCUGCGCAGCGGCGCAGCAGUGCAGCAUGAGCGCCGUCAGCGCGCAGGCGCGCGCGUCGCCGCCGCCGUCGCCGCCCGCCGUCAGUUCGGCGCGGACCGCGCUUAACUGCAACCAUGCACAUCAUUAAAGUCAAAGAAAUAAAUUAAAUUACCUGGGGUAAAAUAAUGCUAAAACCCGGAACCGGAAAAAAUCUGAUAUUAUUAUAUAACUUUCGACCGCGCUUUUAUUGGUUAUGUGUUAUUAAAUAUUGAAAUAACUAUUCUAGAAAUAAAUAAGCAGGGUUCACAACCAUUUUUGGAUUCAGCUUCCCAUAGGAAGCUUUCUUCGGACUCCCCUUGACUUUGUACAGGCGUUGUCACCUGGGAGUGUGGCUGGGCGAGGGCGGCAGGGAGCGCGAUGAGGCCGAGGGCUUCGGCGCGGAGAGCGAGUGCGCCGAGCCCGCGCGGCGGAGCCCCGCCACCAGCGCACUCAUGGCCCCGCCACCUACAGACAUACACCGGUGAUAGCUUCUGCUCUUACAUUGACCCAAAAUCGCACUGCGUCGAGCGAUGGAAGUGCGUGCGCACGAAGUCGUGCGCCGCACGCACAGGCUUGGGCGGUCGCGGCACGUCGCGGGGCGGAGCGCGAGGCGCGUGGCGCGCGCUGCCCGCGCCUUCCCACUCCCACCAC